rnacentral:rRNA from 1 species
AUUGAACGCUGGCGGCAGGCCUAACACAUGCAAGUCGCGCGAGCGGCGGACGGGUGAGUAAUGUAUGGGGACUGCCUGAUGGAGGGGGAUAACUACUGGAAACGGUAGCUAAUACCGUAUACCAUCAGAUAACCCAUAUGGGAUUAGCUUGUAGGUGAGGUAACGGCUCAACUAGGCGAAGAUCCCAAGCUGGUCUGAGAGGCGGAUCAGCCGCACUGGGACUGAGACCCGGCCCAGACUACUACGGAGGCAGCAGUGGCGAAUAUUGCACAAUGGGCGCAAGCCUGAUGCAGCCAUGCCGCGUGUAUGAAGAAGGCCUUCGGGUUGUAAAGUACAUUCAGUCGGGAGGCAUUACCGACAGCAGAAGCACCGGCUAACUCCGUGCCAGCAGCCGCGGUAAUUC